rnacentral:rRNA from 1 species
GAUGAACGCUGGCGGCGUGCCUAAUACAUGCAAGUCGAGCGAACGGACGAGAAGCUUGCUUCUCUGAUGUUAGCGGCGGACGGGUGAGUAACACGUGGAUAACCUACCUAUAAGACUGGGAUAACUUCGGGAAACCGGAGCUAAUACCGGAUAAUAUUUUGAACCGCAUGGUUCAAAAGUGAAAGACGGUCUUGCUGUCACUUAUAGAUGGAUCCGCGCUGCAUUAGCUAGUUGGUAAGGUAACGGCUUACCAAGGCAACGAUGCAUAGCCGACCUGAGAGGGUGAUCGGCCACACUGGAACUGAGACACGGUCCAGACUCCUACGGGAGGCAGCAGUAGGGAAUCUUCCGCAAUGGGCGAAAGCCUGACGGAGCAACGCCGCGUGAGUGAUGAAGGUCUUCGGAGCGUAAAACUCUGUUAUUAGGGAAGAACAUAUGUGUAAGUAACUGUGCACAUCUUGACGGUACCUAAUGAGAAAGCCACGGCUAACUACGUG